rnacentral:rRNA from 1 species
UACGUAGGGGGCAAGCGUUGUCCGGAUUUAUUGGGCGUAAAGAGCGUGUAGGCGGCCAGACAGGUCCGUUGUGAAAACUCGAGGCUCAACCUCGAGAUGUCGAUGGAAACCGUCUGGCUAGAGUCCGGAAGAGGAGUGUGGAAUUCCUGGUGUAGCGGUGAAAUGCGUAGAUAUCUGGAGGAACACCGGUGGCGAAGGCGGCAUCCUGGACCAACACUGACACUGAGGAGCGAAAGCCAGGGGAGCAAACGGG